rnacentral:misc_RNA from 3 species
AACGCAUCUUGCGCUCUUGGGCCAUUCCUGAGAGCAUGCUUGUUGGAGUAACGUUAAAGCUCAACCUCGCUUGUAGUUCGCUACGAGUAGAUUUAGGGUUGGAUCAUGACGGUUCUGUUGGUGUUAGCUCACCAACUCUGUCGAAAAAUAACAAGCUGAACCUUAUCGAAUUUUGCUGGCUUCGGCUAACUAUUGUUGUAGAACUUCGGUCCAAUAGUGUUGCAAUCCUUUUGAUAAUCACAGUAGGCUUACCAAGAACCCAGCUUCUUUAACUAGAACUGCAUUUUAUUUUGCUUGUUCUCCAAUCAAGUAGGACUACCCGCUGAACUUAA